GGACGGGUGAGUAAUGUCUGGGAAACUGCCCGAUGGAGGGGGAUAACUACUGGAAACGGUAGCUAAUACCGCAUAACGUCGCAAGACCAAAGAGGGGGACCUUCGGGCCUCUUGCCAUCGGAUGUGCCCAGAUGGGAUUAGCUAGUAGGUGGGGUAACGGCUCACCUAGGCGACGAUCCCUAGCUGGUCUGAGAGGAUGACCAGCCACACUGGAACUGAGACACGGUCCAGACUCCUACGGGAGGCAGCAGUGGGGAAUAUUGCACAAUGGGCGCAAGCCUGAUGCAGCCAUGCCGCGUGUAUGAAGAAGGCCUUCGGGUUGUAAAGUACUUUCAGCGAGGAGGAAGGUGUUGUGGUUAAUAACC
rnacentral:rRNA from 1 species